rnacentral:rRNA from 1 species
UACGUAGGGUCCAAGCGUUAAUCGGAAUUACCGGGCGUAAAGCGUGCGCAGGCGGUUGUGUAAGUCAGAUGUGAAAUCCCCGGGCUCAACCUGGGAAUUGCAUUUGAGACUGCACGGCUAGAGUGUGUCAGAGGGGGGUAGAAUUCCACGUGUAGCAGUGAAAUGCGUAGAGAUGUGGAGGAAUACCGAUGGCGAAGGCAGCCCCCUGGGAUAACACUGACGCUCAUGCACGAAAGCGUGGGGAGCAAACAGG